rnacentral:rRNA from 1 species
UACGUAGGGUGCAAGCGUUGUCCGGAAUUAUUGGGCGUAAAGAGCUCGUAGGCGGUUUGUCGCGUCUGCUGUGAAAACCCGAGGCUCAACCUCGGGCCUGCAGUGGGUACGGGCAGACUAGAGUGCGGUAGGGGGAGAUUGGAAUUCCUGGUGUAGCGGUGGAAUGCGCAGAUAUCAGGAGGAACACCGAUGGCGAAGGCAGAUCUCUGGGCCGUAACUGACGCUGAGGAGCGAAAAGCGUGGGGAGCGAACAGG